UACGUAGGGGGCGAGCGUUGUCCGGAAUCAUUGGGCGUAAAGAGCGUGUAGGCGGCCCGGUAAGUCCGCUGUAAAAGUCAAAGGCUCAACCUUUGAAUGUCAGUGGAUACUGCCGGGCUAGAGUCCGGAAGAGGCGAGUGGAACUCCUGGUGUAGCGGUGGAAUGCGCAGAUAUCAGGAAGAACACCAACGGCGAAGGCAGCUCGCUGGGACGGUACUGACGCUGAGACGCGAAAGCGUGGGGAGGCGAACAGG
rnacentral:rRNA from 1 species